UAACAUAAGGCAGCAACAUAACAAAACGUGAAAAAAAUGAAGGGGUAUGACUACUUUCGCAAGGCACUGUAACUCAUGACCGAGAGUUACUUACGUAACCCGUCAUGUCCGAGACAUUAUGUAACCGAGACGUUAUAUCCCCAUGCCACAACCUUGAACCAUCACUGGUUGGCAGGGACCUGUUCUCGGCUCCUUAGCGUAAAACCUGAAUGAGUGGAUGCACCUGUCGCAUAUUUAUGCCCAUGUGCUGAUAAAAAUGUUGUACUCUUUUAAAAUAAAUUGCAGCUAUAACACAAGCACUUGUCAAUGCGGCCAUCUGUUGUUGCAGUCCCAGUAUUUUAUUUUUAUUUUAAUUUUUUUUGUUUUGUUGGUUCUUACCAUUUCUUAAGUUUAAUUUUCUACUGUCAAACAACGGCCUGGGACACUGUUGCCACCUUGUGGAACAACUAAUUAGUGCAAAACAAAUUCUACGUGCCUGUGUGACCUGGGCUGUUACAAAAACCAGGCGGUGUGCAUACAGUAUGCACAUACUACUCUGGUGGCGAAAUCUGCAUCAAAUGCACUGUACACAGACCCUCGCUUACACAUAAAAACCGAAGUGUACUUUCGGCUUAACGUAUGGAAAAUAGUCAUCAGAAAAUCUGUAGACAUCUGAUUUGUAGCACACACCUGUUUUUUGUUGAUCUUAAAGCUGUUGUUUCAGGACACUUUAUCAGUAAACUAUGAUUUUGGUCAUACCUGAAAUACUUAACAAUGUGAAGACACACCGCUGUGAAUGUGUGUUUGAUCUCAGGGACCUCCACCGAAACCGGCCCGGCGGCAGGGAGGAUGGGCGGAGGAGAGCACAGGAACCGGAUCUGCCAAGUCCAGACGACAGUCGGCCGCUGAAGAGCUGGAGGACCGACGACUGAGGCCACAAACCCCCGAGGGCUCCGACAAUGAAAGCGGUGAGUAGAUGACUCCCGUGAGCUCUGUUUCUCUCAAACACAUUUACUCUGUUUAACCAGACAGCAGCUCCGCAGCUUAUGAAAUUCAGACAGAAUUCAAGCUAAUGGCGGAUCAUUUAUUGUAUGACGUUACAGAAUGGUGCUGGAUAAAGCAGCUUAUUCAGAGAGAGUCCAGCUGCUGUGAUUGAUAAAGUCUACACAUUCAUAAACGCUAUUUCAUAUAUAUUUCAGAUACAAAAACACUUACAGUACAAUACACUAGGCUUAAAAGACCUGAUAGCGUGAGGCUCAGAAACAUGUGAUCUUCAGGACAUAUGCUGCUUUCACUUACAGUCUCAAAUAAUAACAAAAAUAAAUAAAAAAUACAAUACUUUUCUUUUUUUUUUUUUUUUUAAUAAAUCAAGAGAUGUACUGGAUACAGUUGCCAGAAUAUUCAUUAAAUGACAUUCAAAAGCAUCAGUAUACAUAUACAAACCAUUAUAUUUAUACUGAUUGAGCAUCAAAAAAAAAAAACUAAAACUUGCUAAAAAAAACUUAA